rnacentral:rRNA from 1 species
AUAGUUACCCCACUAUGCUCAGCCGUAAACCUUAAUUUACAUCAAAAUCGCCAGGGAACUACGAGCCACGCUUAAAACCCAAAGGACUUGACGGUACCUCACACCCAACUAGAGGAGCCUGUCCUAUAAUCGAUAGUCCCCGUUCAACCUCACCCCUCCUAGCCUCUCAGUCUGUAUACUUCCGUAGUCAGCCUACCACAUGAGUGGUACCCAGUGGGCUAAUCGCUCAAUUCGCAUUAACAUCAGGUCAAGGUGCAGCAAAUGGAGGGGGAAGAGAUGGGCUACAUUCUCUAGCAUAGAGCAUACGAAUGACUGCAAUGAAACCCAGUCUGAAGGCGGAUUUAGAAGUAAAGAGAGAUUAGAGUGCUCUCUUUAAUACUGGCACUGAGGUGUGUACACACCGCCCGUCACCCUCCUCGAAGUCUACAAAUCAGUAACUAACAACUAGCGACACAAGAGAGGAGGCAAGUC